AGAAAGUUUCUGGAAGAAGAACUUUUUCUUUGGAAGAUGGCAUCUGUCAUCCUCAUGUGACUUAAUUCUUCAUUAAACAAGAUACAAAAAUAACUAUGAUGGAUGAUCUCCUUUAAAUACCCUGAUAAUGGAUGUCACAGCCCAGAUUGCUGGAUACAGAUCUUUAUUUAGUACCAGCAGUGUCUCCAGCACACCCCGAGCCAUAAUUGAUGUGUUGUAAAGGAGGUAUAUCGCCGUCCAUUAGAAGAGAGCCGUAUAUCAUUUUUGUGUUGGUGCUAACACUCACAUAUAUAUCAAGGCAAUGCAGAAAGCCAUUCUAUAAAACAGUGGGAACAAAUGGAUUAAGAAGUGCAUCAGCUUUAAAUAGCUCCUGGAACUUCAUAGAUGUUGUAUAUACCAACACCAGCUACAUUUUUAUUCUCACUAAUCAAGUUUUUUUGCAUAAGGAAAUAAAGCUAAUUUCACAGCAUGCUGGAUAUGGUGUUGUAUUCAAAGGGAAAAAUAUCUAAUAUAAGUCCUGUGUCAUUCCUCUAGCUCAUUGCUGUCCAACUUCUGUGGUGCCAAGGGCCGGAAUUUCUCUAGAAUACAUAGUGGAGGGCUGCUGAUGGAAGUCAGCUUUGACCACACCCUUUUAAACCACACCCACUUCAAACCACACCCAUAUUAUCACAAGAGGUUUUAAGACCCUGCCCACAUAAAUGGUGGUAGCGCAGCAUAAACCCAAAUGGUUGGUGCUGACUGUAGGGUUAUCACCCUUCACUCGUUUGUGAAAGAAUUAUAUU